GUGCAUGCCCACGCACCGUGAGAUAUCUUCACUGCUGUGGCUCAGUGAGUUAUUUUGCCCUCCCAGCAUUUUGGGACUUUAACAGUGUAAUUAUCAGAGCCUCUCUAUCACAGCAGCAGCGGGUCCAUUAACGAUGCUGCAGAGGAGGCCCGUCCCCUGUCGUAACAACUCAUCCUUCCUCCGGGUCUUCCUCCUGAACAACAAGCUUCUUUAACAUUCCACACGUUGACCGGACGUGAUAACCGCUCCACCUGCCAUUGAAAUUCCCCUCAGCCCACCUUUCCUGGGAGAUUUAUCCCCUUGGUCAUGCUGUAUUUACAGAGACAGCAGGCUAUCAGACAGUAAACCGCUGUGAGCAAUCAAGACCACGUUAAGUUUGUCCAACAACCUGCACAGAAUUAAAUCUAGAUCCACAGCCUCGGGCGAGGGACAGACCUGACUUUGAUUGCUUUUUCAAAAUGUUUGAAAAGCUUUUUGAGCUGCUAUUUUCCUAUUAUUACUGCUACAUAUUCAGCAAAGUGGAAAAAAAAAGCAAAGGAAUGUAGCCUCAUAAAGAAACUUUCUCAACAAUAACACACACACACAGAGGGAAUGAAUUUGCCAUUUUUAUGUUAUUACAUUAUGCCUGAGACAAAAGGACAACUACAAUCUUUUGCCUUUUUUCUUUCCUUUGUUUCUUCUUUGUCUAUUAAAAACUCUAUUAAAAAUGAAAAGCCCUGAA